GACGAACGCUGGCGGCGUGCUUAACACAUGCAAGUCGAACGAUGAAGAAGAGAAACGCGAACUUCGGUUCAAAUUUCACUUCGGAUUAGUGGCAGACGGGUGAGUAACGCGUGAGCAACCUACCUCUUACAAAGGGAUAGCCUCGGGAAACCGUGAUUAAUACCAUAUGACACAUUCAUAAGGCAUCUUAAGAAAGUUAAAGCUACGGCGGUAAGAGAUGGGCUCGCGUCCCAUUAGCUAGUUGGUGAGGUAACGGCCCACCAAGGCGACGAUGGGUAACCGGCCUGAGAGGGUGAACGGUCACAUUGGAACUGAGACACGGUCCAUACUCCUACGGGAGGCAGCAGUGGGGAAUAUUGCACAAUGGAGGGAACUCUGAUGCAGCGACGCCGCGUGAGCGAUGAAGGGAUUCGUUUCGUAAAGCUCUGUUCUAUGGGAAGAAAAGGACUGUACCAUAGGAGAAAGCCCCGGCUAAAUACGUG
rnacentral:rRNA from 1 species